rnacentral:rRNA from 1 species
AUUGAACGCUGGCGGCAUGCCUUACACAUGCAAGUCGAACGGUAACAGGUCUUCGGAUGCUGACGAGUGGCGAACGGAUGAGUAAUACAUCGGAACGUGCCCGAGAGUGGGGGAUAACGAAGCGAAAGCUUUGCUAAUACCGCAUACGAUCUCAGGAUGAAAGCAGGGGACCGCACGGCCUUGCGCUCACGGAGCGGCCGAUGGCAGCUUAGGUAGUUGGUGGGAUAAAAGCUUACCAAGCCGACGAUCUGUAGCUGGUCUGAGAGGACGACCAGCCACACUGGGACUGAGGGACGGCCCAGACUCCUACGGGAGGCAGCAGUGGGGAAUUUUGGACAAUGGGCGCAAGCCUGAUCCAGCCAUGCCGCGUGCAGGAUGAAGGCCUUCGGGUUGUAAACUGCUUUUGUACGGAACGAAAAGACUCCUUCUAAUAAAGGGGGUCCAUGACGGUACCGUAAGAAUAAGCACCGGCUAACUACGUGCCAGCCGCCGCGGUAACAC